GACGAACGCUGGCGGCGUGCUUAACACAUGCAAGUCGAACGAUGAAGCUGGAGCUUGCUCCGGCGGAUUAGUGGCGAACGGGUGAGUAACACGUGAGCAAUCUGCCCUUCACUCUGGGAUAACUGCGGGAAACUGUAGCUAAUACCGGAUACGAAGCCUUGGGGCAUCCCGGGGCUUGGAAAGUAUUUCGGUGAAGGAUGAGCUCGCGGCCUAUCAGCUAGUUGGUGAGGUAAUGGCUCACCAAGGCGACGACGGGUAGCCGGCCUGAGAGGGUGGCCGGCCACACUGGGACUGAGACACGGCCCAGACUCCUACGGGAGGCAGCAGUGGGGAAUAUUGCACAAUGGGCGAAAGCCUGAUGCAGCAACGCCGCGUGAGGGAUGAAGGCCUUCGGGUUGUAAACCUCUUUUAAUAGGGAAGAAGCGAAAGUGACGGUACCUACAGAAAAAGCACCGGCUAACUACGUGCCAGCAGCCGCCGUAA
rnacentral:rRNA from 1 species